UGCGCAGGUGGUUUGUUAAGUUGGAUGUGAAAUCCCCGGGCUCAACCUGGGAACUGCAUCCAACACUGGCAAGCUAGAGUAUGGUAGAGGGUGGUGGAAUUUCCUGUGUAGCGGUGAAAUGCGUAGAUAUAGGAAGGAACACCAGUGGCGAAGGCGACCACCUGGACUGAUACUGACACUGAGGUGCGAAAGCGUGGGGAGCAAACAGGAUUAGAUACCCGUGUA
rnacentral:rRNA from 1 species